rnacentral:lncRNA from 1 species
UUUAUAUUGGUCUUUCACAUUAGGCGAAACAAUUGAGUAUGAUUCUAAUUUUAUUGAAAUCAAAUUUCUACGUUGUGCCAGAAAAUUUGAGUUAUAUGAGAUUUAUUCUAAUUUUUUACUUCAAUAUCCAACUUAUGAGUUUGAUGCCUGUACAUAAAUGAUCAGCUUCGUAAGAGAGAGAGAGAGAGAGAGAGAGAGAGAGAGUAAGGAAAAGCAAUAGUAGGUUUGGAAGUUAAUUGGUCUCACAAUUAGUGGAUUGAACUUAUUU